GUCGGAGUGGCGGAAUUGGAAGACGCGCCAGGCUAAGGACCUGGUGGGGUUUAACACCCCGUGGAGGUUCGAGUCCUCUCUCCGACACCA
rnacentral:tRNA from 2 species